AGUGAACGCUGGCGGUAGGCCUAACAUAUGCAAGUCGAACGGCAGCACAGUAAGAGCUUGCUCUUACGGGUGGCGAGUGGCGGACGGGUGAGGAAUACAUCGGAAUCUACUUUUUCGUGGGGGAUAACGUAGGGAAACUUACGCUAAUACCACAUACGACCUACGGGUGAAAGCAGGGGAUCUUCGGACCUUGCGCGAUUGAAUGAGCCGAUGUCGGAUUAGCUAGUUGGCGGGGUAAAGGCCCACCAAGGCGACGAUCCGUAGCUGGUCUGAGAGGAUGAUCAGCCACACUGGAACUGAGACACGGUCCAGACUCCUACGGGAGGCAGCAGUGGGGAAUAUUGGACAAUGGGCGCAAGCCUGAUCCAGCCAUACCGCGUGGGUGAAGAAGGCCUUCGGGUUGUAAAGCCCUUUUGUUGGGAAAGAAAAGCAGCAGGUUAAUACCCCGCUGUUCUGACGGUACCCAAAGAAUAAGCACCGGCUAACUUCGUG
rnacentral:rRNA from 1 species